UACGUAGGGUGCGAGCGUUAAUCGGAAUUACUGGGCGUAAAGGGUGCGCAGGCGGCGCCAUAAGACAGAUGUGAAAUCCCCGGGCUCAACCUGGGAACUGCGUUUGUGACUGUGGUGCUUGAGUGCGGCAGAGGGGGGUGGAAUUCCACGUGUAGCAGUGAAAUGCGUAGAGAUGUGGAGGAACACCGAUGGCGAAGGCAGCCCCCUGGGUCGGCACUGACGCUCAUGCACGAAAGCGUGGGGAGCAAACAGGAUUAGAUACCCUGGUAGUCCACGCCCUAAACGAUGCGAACUAGGUGGUGGGGGAGGAGACUUCUUUAGUGCCGUAGCUAACGCGUGAAGUUCGCCGCCUGGGGAGUACGGUCGCAAGAUUA
rnacentral:rRNA from 1 species